UACGGGGGGGGCAAGCGUUGUUCGGAAUUACUGGGCGUAAAGGGCGCGUAGGCGGCCUUCUAAGUCGGACGUGAAAUCCCUCGGCUUAACCGAGGAACUGCGUCCGAGACUGAAAGGCUUGAACCCGGGAGAGGGAUGUGGAAUUCCAGGUGUAGCGGUGAAAUGCGUAGAUAUCUGGAGGAACACCGGUGGCGAAGGCGGCAUCCUGGACCGGCAUUGACGCUGAGGCGCGAAAGCUAGGGGAGCAAACGGG
rnacentral:rRNA from 1 species